CUGGAAUCUGUGACUGUACGGACAAAUUGGCUACAAAUGCCUAGGACUGCUUCUUUGAGAAACAUGAGACAACUUUCCUUCCAUUAAUGCAAUACCCGACAUUGUAAUGAAAAAAAACGUCGGUAUUUACAAAUGAAGGGUUUGAACUCCAAAGGUGCUGAGUGGCCUCAGCAGAUGAGAGGACCAGACACUGAAGACUUUCAGGAGUUCAGAGCAGCAAAAGCAUCUUUAUUGUGAGAAGUCACUCUGGUCCCUUCACCCCAGCUCCGACUUUGGCACAAUUCAUCGCAAGCGAAGCGAAGUCUCAAGUAAUGUGGCCCUCUGGUGGAAAGCUCUGCAUCACGUCCUACGCGACCGAAUCGCUCCGUAAACUAACAGAUUCUGAAAACAUGCACGGCAAGGCUUCGGCACAACUUUUAUAAAUACGCCGCGGGAUUUUAAUCACCAGGCGAGCACGGCGGCGUGCAGCGGUAUCAGCAAGACGUUGCCGCCACGAAAACGGGAUCCUGGCGUUUCAGCAUUAACGUGCACAAAAACAACAACAAAUAACGCCCCACGCUCUUCACUUGCACAACACUUCACAUUCAGCACGCACAGAGGGUCUGUGGAAGGGUGCCCGUGCGAAAACAGCCCUUUAUUUGUUUAAAA